UAGCAGACGAGUGUUAUUCAUCUUUAAUAGGUUUAUGGGGUACUUAGACGGUAAAUCAAGCCUCAAAAAGGGACUAGUUUGCUAGAGUUUUAUGUGAGGAAGUAUUAAGGUACUGGUGGUGUAGAGAUGAAAUUCGAUGAUACCUUGAAUGGCACAGGUAUAGGCGAAAGCAUCUUCUUAUGUAAUAACUGACGUUAAAAGACGAAGGCUUUGUGUCUCGAACAGGAUUAGAUACCCUAGUAGUCAAAGCAGACAAUGAUGAAUGUCAUAGAUUGGAUUUAAAUUUAUUUAAUCUAUAAAUGAAAGUGUAAGCAUUCCACCUUAAGAGUAAUUUGGCAACAUUGGAACUGAAAUCAUUAGACCGUUUCUGAGACCAGUAGUGAAGUAUGUUGUUUAAUUUGAUGAUCCGCAAAAAACCUUACCACAACAUGAAUAGAUAAUUUUUAUCAUACAAGCGUUGCACGGCUGUCUUUAGUUAAUGUCGUGAGACUUUGGUUAGUUCCAUUAAAUUAACG
rnacentral:rRNA from 1 species